GGUAAAUGUUUCAUGAUAAGAAUUUCAUGUCUUUUGUAUUAAAGAAUUAAAUGGAUGAAAUAUGAAGUUUUAUUAAAAGAAAAAGGGGUGAAAAGAACAAAGUUUUGUCCAUCUUUGUUCAUCAUAGCUGAAAGUUAGAGAAGAGAAAGGAGAAGAGAAAGCUCUUGAAUAUUCGGUCAUUAGGAGGAGGAAAAUUGAAGGCGGUUCGUGUGUGGAUCUCGUCAGCAUAUCGUCGCAAACAGCUCAAGAUCCUAAAGGAUAGGCGUCCAACAAGGGGAAAUCGAAGGUCAUCGAGUAGCCGACUUGGAAUUAUUUUACCCAACACAAGGUUUCUUGGACUCGACUUUUUGCGUAUUCAGGACCGUCAUCGAAGUCAUCACACCGACUAGCAACUUUUGGUAUUUUCUUCUUAGUUGGUCUAGGAGAACAUUUCGGCAUGUAUAGGCUAUUAUGUUUUGUUGAAAUAUGGUAUGUAAAACUUUGGAUAGCCAUGCGAAAAUGGCUUAUAUACGUUUUGAGCAUAAUGUUAUAGUCAUCUUGAAUGUAUAUGUUCAUUAAGAGGCAUGGAAACUAUGUAAUAGGUAAAGUCUACCUUAAAAAAGGAUGCUGAUAGCAGCAGUGAUGUGGAUGUGAAAAAUCACUAAAAAUAGUAGGAAUGGAAUUCAAUAGUGAAUAAAUUAUGUAAUCGAACCUUGACGAAUCUA